rnacentral:rRNA from 1 species
AGGGAAUAUUGCUUAAUGGGCGAAAGCCUGAAGCAGCAACGCCGCGUGUGUGAAGAGGGCCUUCGGGUUGUAAAACACUUUUUGAGGGAAUGAGGAAGGACAGUACCCUCAGAAUAAGCCUCGGCUAACUACGUGCCAGCAGCCGCGGUAAAACGUAGGAGGCGAGCGUUAUCCGGAUUUACUGGGCGUAAAGCGCGUGCAGGCGGCACGGCAAGUUGGAUGUGAAAGCUCCCGGCUUAACUGGGAGAGGUCGUUCAAAACUGCCGAGCUAGAGUGCGGGAGAGGGAGGUGGAAUUCCGGGUGUAGUGGUGAAAUGCGUAGAUAUCCGGAGGAACACCAGUGGCGAAAGCGGCCUCCUGGUCCGCAACUGACGCUCAGACGCGAAAGCUAGGGUAGCAAACGG